rnacentral:snoRNA from 1 species
UUGCAGUGAUGACCAUUUAGGACACCUUUGUAUUACCCAUGAAAAGACGGUAUCAAGUCUGAGCAAU